GCCAAUAUAUAUAUAUAUAUACAUAUAUGGAGAGAGAAAGAUGAGCUAGAAUACUCUCAAAAGUACUAAAGAAGUGGUGCUUUUGAAUUUUUAACCAUUGGAUGAAGAGAUAUAGGAUUGAGAUGAUGACGAUAGGUAGUGACAGGUGGUGGUAGGUGGAAUAAUGUUUGAUCCAAAGACUACUAGUAAUUAAAGAGUAGAUCCAAGGGCUAAAAAUUUAGAAGCACCAAAGACUUGGUGCUUCUAAAAGUAUUGUAGCUCAAUUUUAUAUAUAUAUAUAU
rnacentral:lncRNA from 1 species